GUUCAAGUAGGUUUCUCAUAAGAAAUCUGAUCUCGAAAUUCAGAGAUGGCGUUUCGAAUCAUAUCGGCUACAUGGGGUUGCACAAACAUGUGGGUAUUAUCCAGUAUAUGGAUGAUAAAUCUAUGGGAUGUAGGCAAGGAAGCAUUGUAAUUGAUGAUAAAUUGUGCCAUAGGUACGUCACAGGAGAUGAAUAGCCCUUUAAUGGCAUUAACCAUGAUGUCAAAAACGUCCACCCUCAAACAGCAGCGGAAUAAAUUGAACUGAAAGUCCG
rnacentral:misc_RNA from 1 species